GGGGGUGUAAUAGAUUUGACGGGUAUCUGUUGCCUUUCGGGAGCAAGUACCGGUUGGCCAGGCCGGUUAAAAUAGGGCCAUAAAAAUAACUGACAAUCAAGUCAACUGGGCUACUGCUUAGUCCACUGCCUCUUUCCUGUUUCCCGCGCGGGAAAGAACGGCAGUCAAACCACGGGAUGCUACAGCCUUGGCGCGGUUCGUCCGGGCUGGAUAAGACAAACGAACCAAACUAUCGGCGUGCUUCCUUGCGCUUAGCCGAUAGUAAAUAGCAAGGAUAAACUUGUAGAGCCUGCUAGGAGAAGAUGUUCGGACGGGGGUGCGAAUCCCCCCACCUCCACU
rnacentral:tmRNA from 1 species